AGUGAACGCUGGCGGUAGGCCUAACACAUGCAAGUCGAACGGCAGCACAGUAAGAGCUUGCUCUUACGGGUGGCGAGUGGCGGACGGGUGAGGAAUACAUCGGAAUCUACUUUUUCGUGGGGGAUAACGUAGGGAAACUUACGCUAAUACCGCAUACGACCUACGGGUGAAAGCAGGGGAUCUUCGGACCUUGCGCGAUUGAAUGAGCCGCUGUCGGAUUAGCUAGUUGGCGGGGUAAAGGCCCACCAAGGCGACGAUCCGUAGCUGGUCUGAGAGGAUGGUCAGCCACACUGGAGCUGAGACACGGUCCAGACUCCUACGGGAGGCAGCAGUGGGGAAUAUUGGACAAUGGGCGCAAGCCUGAUCCAGCCAUACCGCGUGGGUGAAGAAGGCCUUCGGGUUGUAAAGCCCUUUUGUUGGGAAAGAAAAGCAGCAGGUUAAUACCCCGCUGUUCUGACGGUACCCAAAGAAUAAGCACCGGCUAACUUCGUG
rnacentral:rRNA from 1 species